rnacentral:rRNA from 1 species
UACAGAGGUCUCAAGCGUUGUUCGGAUUCAUUGGGCGUAAAGGGUGCGUAGGCGGCGCGGUAAGUCGGGUGUGAAAUUUCGAGGCUUAACUUCGAAACUGCAUUCGAUACUGCCGUGCUUGAGGACUGGAGAGGAGACUGGAAUUUACGGUGUAGCGGUGAAAUGCGUAGAGUUCAUGAGGAAGACCAGUGGCGAAGGCGGGUCUCUGGACAGUUCCUGACACUGAGACACGAAGGCCAGGGGAGCAAACGGG